AUUGAACGCUGGCGGCAGGCCUAACACAUGCAAGUCGAGCGGAUGAAGGGAGCUUGCUCCUGGAUUCAGCGGCGGACGGGUGAAUAAUGCCUAGGAAUCUGCCUGGUAGUGGGGGAUAACGUCCGGAAACGGGCGCUAAUACCGCAUACGUCCUGAGGGAGAAAGUGGGGGAUCUUCGGACCUCACGCUAUCAGAUGAGCCUAGGUCGGAUUAGCUAGUUGGUGGGGUAAAGGCCUACCAAGGCGACGAUCCGUAACUGGUCUGAGAGGAUGAUCAGUCACACUGGAACUGAGACACGGUCCAGACUCCUACGGGAGGCAGCAGUGGGGAAUAUUGGACAAUGGGCGAAAGCCUGAUCCAGCCAUGCCGCGUGUGUGAAGAAGGUCUUUGGAUUGUAAAGCACUUUAAGUUGGGAGGAAGGGCAGUAAGUUAAUACCUUGCUGUUUUGACGUUACCAACAGAAUAAGCACCGGCUAACUUCGUG
rnacentral:rRNA from 1 species